rnacentral:rRNA from 1 species
UACGAAGGGGGCUAGCGUUGUUCGGAAUCACUGGGCGUAAAGCGCACGCAGGCGGAUCGUUAAGUCAGGGGUGAAAUCCCGAGGCUCAACCUCGGAACUGCCUUUGAUACUGGCGAUCUUUGAGUCCGGGAGAGGUGGAGUGGAACUCCGAGUGUAGAGGUGAAAAUUCGUAGAUAUUCGGAAGAACACCAGUGGCGAAGGGCGGCUCACUGGCCCGGUACUGACGCUGAGGUGCGAAAGCGUGGGGAGCAAACAGGG